ACCCAAUGACAUUCGGAAAGAUCUACUUGUCAGAAUCAUAUCGUCCGACAUCGAAUCAUCUUUUUGAAAUGAUGUCUGACACUGACAUCCGAUACCAAAUCGUCCUAUCAAUAUGAUAGUCUAAUGAUGGUUCUAUACUCACCAAAAUGAUAAAACAGCUGACGCUCACAUCUCGAAAAAACUAACGAACAAAUCAAGAUUCGAUACGACACGAAAUAACUUCCUUCGUCCAACAUGCCAAAA
rnacentral:lncRNA from 1 species